ensembl:lncRNA
UUUUUUAUUUUUUUUAUUUGGGUUUUUUCUUUCCUCUUUUUGGUGAGUCUGGCCAGAGGUUUGUCCAUUUUGUUUACCAUUUCAAAGAAUCAGCUCUUGGUUUUAUUGAUUUCUUCAAUUGAUUUUUGAAUCUCUAUUUUAUUGAUUUCCUCUUUGAUCUUUAUGAUUUCCUUCCUUCUGCUGACUUUAGAUUUUGUUUGUUCUUCUUUUUUUAAUUCAUUUAUUUGGUGGUUUAUGAUGUCAAUUUGAGAUUUUUCUUUUUUGAGGAAGGCCUGAAUUGCUAUGAAUUCCCCUAUAAGCACUGCUUUUGUGUCAUCCCAUAGAUUUUGAAUUGUUGUGUCUUUAUUAUCAUUUGUCUUGAGGUAGUUUUUAAUUUUCUUCUUAAUUUCCUUAUUGACCCAUUGGUUUUUCAGUAGCAUGUUGUUUAGUCUCCAUGUAGUCAGUUUUUUCUCAUUUAUUUUUUGAGGUGGAUUUCUACUUUCAUGCCAUUGUGGUGGGAGAAGAUACUUGAAAUAAUUUCUGUACUCUUAAAUUUGUUGAGGUUAGUUUUGUGCCCCAGUAUGUGGUCAGUUCUUGAGGAUGUUCCAUGUGCACUUGAGAAGAAUGUAUAUUCUGAUUUUUUUGGAUGUAAUGUCCUGAAAAUGUUGAUUAUGUCUAACUUUUCUAUUGUGUCACUAAGGAUCUCUGUUGCCUUAUUGACUUUCUUUCUAGAGGAUCUGUCCAUUGGUGUGAGUAUGGUGUUAAAGUCUCCUACUGUGAUUGUAUUCCCAUCAAUUUCUCCUUUUAUGUCUGCUAGUAUUUGUUGUAUGUAUCUGGGUGCUCCUACAUCAGGGGCAUAUAUAUUGACGAUUGUAAUAUCCUCUUCUUGAAUGGAUUCUUUUACCAUUAAAUAGUGUCCUUCUUUGUCUUUCUUUAUGGCCUUCAUUUCAAAGUCUAUUUUGUCUGAUAUGAGUAUUGCAAUUCCUGCUUUCCUGUCUUGUCCAUUGGCAUGAAAUAUCUUUUCCCAUCCCCUCACUCUCAAUCUAUAUAAGUCCUUUGCCCUAAGGUGAACCUCUUGUAGACAGAAAAUUGAAGGUUUUUGCUUUUUUAUCCAAUCUGCCAUUCUGUGUCUUUUGAUUGGAACAUUCAGUCCAUUCACAUUUAAGGUUAUUAUUGAUAAAUAUGUAUUUAUUGCAAUUUAAACCUUGUUUUCCAGAUGAGUCUAUGUUUUACCUUUGUUCCUUUCUUUUUUUGGUUGGAUGAUUUCCACUUAUUUUAUGCUUGUGUUCUUUACUUUUUAGUUUUUGUGACUGUAAUGUUUGGUUUUGAUUUGUGGUUGCCCUGUUUUUUUAAGUAUAUUAACCCUUUCCUAUAUCUGCUUGCUUUAUCCUAAUAGUCAUAUAGGCUCAAACACAUUAUUAAAAAAAAAAAGAGUCUAGAAUUUCUUACUUUCCUUCCCCAUAUUCUGUGAUUUUGAAGUCCUUUUUAAACAUCUUCAUAUUUGUCCUUUUGCUGUUCCUUGUGUUUAUCAUCACUUUUACAGCAGUUUUUUUUUUUUUCCUUUUAGAUGUGUAUGCUGGCUUAUUUAAGUGAUUGCUUUCAAAUUGUGAUUUCCUUCAUCCUAUUUCUUCUUACUUCUUUUUUUAUUUAGAGAAGCCCUUUCAGUAUUUCUUUUAGAAUGGGCUUAGUAUUGCUGUACUCUCUUAGCUUUUGUUUGUUGGAGAAAUUCUUUAUUUCUCUUUCUAUUUAUUGUAAAUUGUAUUUUUGCUGGGUAGAGUAUUCUAGGCUGCAGUUUUUUUCCUUUUAGAAUUUUGAAUAUAUCUUGCUAGUCUCUUGUGCCUGUAGUGUUUUGUAGAGAAAUCAGCUUAUAGCUUUAUGGGGGUUCCCUUAUAAUUAACACUUUGUUUUUCUCUUGCUGCCUUUAGAAUCCUCACUUUAACUUUUUCCAUUUUUAUUAUAAUAUGUCUCAGUGUGGUCCUAUUUGGGUUCAACUUGUUUGGGGCCUUUUGUGCUUCCUAUAUGUUGAUAUCAGUUUCCUUUAGAUUUGGAGAGUUUUCAGCCAUAAUUUCUUCAAAUAUAUUUUCAAUCCCCUUUUCUUUUUCUUCUCCUUCUGGAGUUCCUUUCUAAAGAAAUCUACAUUACUGUUCAUAUCCACUCUUAAUUUCUUGAUAUUCAGCCUUAAUUCCUUCAGUAUUUCCACUAUCUCUCUUUUGAACCCAGUGUCUAUCAGACUGAAGAGCUUUGUUUUAUCGUUUGCUGCUUCAGGUGAAUUCUCCUGUUCUUUUAACUGGGAAUGGUUCCUGAGAUUCUUCAUGUUGCUUAUGUUUUUCUGUGAGUUUAGGGAAGCCAAAUUGUAGUCUAGCAGGGCUACUUUUAUGCAAGAGUACCCCUUUGUAUUUUGUGGGGGGUUACUAUUUAUUUUUGGUAUGGGAGUUUGGAUAUUUGCUGCCUCUUUCUUCAUUGUGAGCAGGCUAUUAUCCACAGGGUGCUGAGUGUGUUUCCAGGGAGAAGGAGGCAAUGGGUAGGGAUAGUAUUCCAUUCCUGGUUGCUAGGCUCUUAACAGCAGCAGGAGCCUGAGAAAGGUGGCACAGGCUACUCCUAGUUGUAGGGCCCUGGGAAGUGGUAAUGAGCCUUAAGCAGAUUUACAAGGUGCCCAGAACAUUUGGCAGUGGAAACAGCAGGGUGUAUGAUUUCCUAGGGGAGUGAGAGCAAUAACAGGUAGUGUUUGGUCACAGUGCCUUCUAAGGUGAUUGGGGCCAUAGGUGGUGCCUGUUCAUGGACCCCUAGUGGCAGGCCAUGCCCACCUCUAGAGACAGAGAUAACUGCAUGGCAGGCCAUGCCUCCCUCUGGUUUCUGAGAUGACUGUGGUGGUUUGUCCCUGCUACCUGUAGAUCACGCAAGAGGCACCACCUCACACUUAGCUGCCUGCUGCCCUUAGCCCACAUAAGAGGUGCCCAGAUACCUGGAGCCUCCACAAGAAGUGCCUGGUCUCCCACAGCUUGAGCAAAUGGCUUCUCACCACCCAUAGCUUGUACCAGAGGGGCCCUGCCCUCUGAGAGUCCAUGUGUACAGGGAGUUUUUUAUGGCAGUCUACCCCCAUUCCUCUCACCUUUCCCAACAAUGGCGCCUUGCUUCUGUGGGCCCAGACUUCCUCCUGGGUUCCCUCUGCUAUGGCGUUCUGCUCUCCAGCCCAAGGCACACUGCUCCUUAGCCCCUCAGGUUGUCUCCGCACAGCCAACCUUAGUCCUCUCCCUGAAACUGACCUCCAGAGCCUGAGUCUGUGCCCCGCCUCCACCCAAACAUCUCAGGCUGUGCUGUCUGGGGCAGAUGGUCUAUGCAGCUCUCACUCAAUCCAGCUGCUGCACUUUUCUUGGCGACUUUGAGUUUCCUCUGUCUUGGCUGAUCUCCCCGUUGGUUAGGUGUCUUCCUGGAGUGUACAUUCCUUUCCUCUUUCACAGCUUCCUCUCAUGAAUGCUAGUCCCAUUCUGAUUCCUUUUCUCUCUCUCUCUUCUCUUUUCUUCUUUUGUUCUACCCAGUUAUGCUGAGAGUUUCUUGCCCUUUUUGAAGGUUCAAGUUCUUCUGCCAGGAUUCAGUAGAUAGAUAUUCUGUGUGAAUUGUUUUACAUUAGAUGUGUGUGGGAGAAGAUGAGUAUGACGUCUUACUCCUCUACCAUCUUGAUCCUUCUCCCACUGCCGAAUUUACACUCCUUGUGAAGCUCUUAAUCAUAUCAGUGGUACCCUUCUAUUGGAUGCUCCAGGCAUACCUCUGACAUAUCUCAAACUACACUCAUCUUCUCAGUCUCCUCUUUCUUUGCAAGCUGCACAUAUGUUUCUCUUUCUGUGCUCCUGAGUUCAGUAAAUAAUACCAUUAUGCACACAUGCUAUCACACAUGAAACAUGAUUGUCCUCCUGACUCCCCUCUUUUUCCUAUAUCCAGUAGACCACCAAGACCUAUCAGUUGUAUGACCUGGGUCUCAAACUGUCCACUUCUCUUGAAUUUCAUUACUAUUAUAACAGUUCAGGCCCUCAUCUAGUUUCUCCUGAAGUCCUCCAGUUUUCUAAUUAUUGAAAAUACUGCUCAUGUACAAUUUUUUUCAGGAUGUCAUUAUAAUUAAGCAGAUGUUAUUAUUAUACCAUUUUAUGUUUAAGCAGACUGUAACCUAUGGCUUUGUUAUUAAUGGAAGUUUGACAAUGGUCUUUUUGUGAAUGACUAAUUUGGCCAUAAAAGUCCUAUCCCUGUGUAUGGCUAAACCUGAAAUGUGCAGUGUACACAUGGCCCUUCAGUGUUCCCCCCAUCCAAACUGUAAGGUCACUUUAUUGACUGUUCCCAAAAUAUGGCAUUUGAGAGCUUUGAUUCUACCUUAAGUUCUAAUCCAAUAUUAGACUUCUAUGAUAGCUAGAGAACCAUUUUCAGCUUAUGCUAGGAAUGCCAGCCCAAGAGGGGAUUAGGUAGGAAACAUAUUGUGUGUGUAUGUAUGUGUGCAUUCUAAGGAAUGAAGUGUCUAUUCAAAUUGAACAUCAUAGUAAUUACCAAGAAAUACUUCUUAUUAGGUA